AUGACAAAGUUGAACACACAUUCUGGUAUUAUGUUCAUCCUAAAGAGGAUCCACAGGACCUGAGUCUGGAAGAGCAGUUUACUGGUCGAGUGGAAUAUGUUGGGGAUAAAGAGAAAAACUGCACUCUGAGAAUCAGAGGCCUGAGAAAGAGUGAUUCUGGAGAAUAUCGCUUUAGAUUCAGCACUAAUACUGAAAGAGGGAAAUUCUCUGGUAAACCAGGAGUCAUUCUAAAUAUCACAGAUCUGCAGGUGAGAGUGAGUCUCACCCCAGUAUCAGAGGGACAGACUCUAACACUAGGCUGCAGCUCCACCUGCACUCUGCCCUACAACCCCACCUACAUCUGGUACAAGAACGGACAGCCUGUAACCAACAAACCCACCAAACACAACAAGCUGUAUCUGGAACCAGCAGACAGUGAGGAUGGAUUCCAGUAUUCCUGUGUUUUAGGAGAGGAGAGUACAGCGUUAAAGCAAGUCACAAUUGGAGUGGCAGUCUGUCUGGCUCUAAUACUCAUCACAGGAGCUCUGUGGAUAUGCAGGAGGAGAAAGUCCAGGUCAGUUGAAGAGCACAGGAACUCUGGGGAUGAUGGCCAG